rnacentral:rRNA from 1 species
GACGAACGCUGGCGGCGUGCUUAACACAUGCAAGUCGAGCGGGAAACUUCGGUUUCCAGCGGCGGACGGGUGAGUAACACGUGGGCAACCUGCCUCACAAUGAGGGAUAGCCCUCCGCAAGGAGGAUUAAUACCUCAUAACACAAGAGAAACGCAUGUUUCUCUUGCCAAAGAAUUUCGUUGUGAGAUGGGCCCGCGGCGCAUUAGCUUGUUGGUGAGGUAACGGCUCACCAAGGCUUCGAUGCGUAGCCGACCUGAGAGGGUGAUCGGCCACAUUGGAACUGAGACACGGUCCAGACACCUACGGGAGGCAGCAGUGGGGAAUAUUGCACAAUGGAGGAAACUCUGAUGCAGCAACGCCGCGUGAGUGAUGAAGGUCUUCGGAUUGUAAAGCUCUGUCUUCUGGGACGAUAAUGACGGUACCAGAGGAGGAAGCCACGGCUAACUACGUGCCAGCCGCCGCAGUAA